rnacentral:rRNA from 1 species
CCUACGGGAGGCAGCAGUGAGGAAUAUUGGUCAAUGGACGAGAGUCUGAACCAGCCAAGUAGCGUGCAGGAUGACUGCCCUAUGGGUUGUAAACUUCUUUUAUAUGGGAAUAAAACGUUCCACGUGUGGGAUUUUGUAUGUACCAUAUGAAUAAGGAUCGGCUAACUCCGUGCCAGCAGCCGCGGUAAUACGGAGGAUCCGAGCGUUAUCCGGAUUUAUUGGGUUUAAAGGGAGCGUAGGUGGAUUGUUAAGUCUGUUGUGAAAGUUUGCGGCUCAACCGUAAAAUUGCAGUUGAAACUGGCAGUCUUGAGUACAGUAGAGGUGGGCGGAAUUCGUGGUGUAGCGGUGAAAUGCUUAGAUAUCACGAAGAACUCCGAUUGCGAAGGCAGUUCACUGGACUGCAACUGACACUGAGGCUCGAAAGUGUGGGUAUCAAACAGGAUUAGAUACCCGAGUAGUC